CUGCGCGUAGCUCAAGGGAAGAGUACCAGUUUCCGAAGCUGGUUGUUGAUGGUUCGAAUCCAUCCGUGCGGA
rnacentral:tRNA from 1 species